UCCUCUAGGUGGCCCCAUUUUCAGGU
rnacentral:piRNA from 1 species